rnacentral:ncRNA from 2 species
CUCUCAUCAAGAGAGGUGGAGGGAGACGGCCCGAUGAAGCCCGGCAACCCCCCUGCGUAAGCGGGAAGGGUGCCAAUUCCGGCGGAACUUUUCCGCAAGAUGAGGG